CUCCUGUUACGUAUACUGAAGGUAUACCGGAUAGAUAGCACUCAGGAUACAUUCAGUAUACGUUCAUGAA
rfam:Aedes aegypti strain Liverpool supercont1.423 genomic scaffold, whole genome shotgun sequence.